CCACAGCCAGCCGCCGCUUCUCCACUGCCGCCAUCUUCGCUGAGGGCAGUGGGACCGGAAGGACGUCCAUAUUUCACAGUGUGCUGGUUGGCUUUCCUGGCUUAGGCCCCCGAACUUAAAUUUUGCCAGACUCCAAAAUGGAUCCCAAGGAAGGGCUUGAUUUCUGCUCCUCGGUUCCAGAAGGCUGACGACCCUGGCAUCUACGGCCCUUCAUCUGCCGGUAUCAUUUCCAGCCUCUCUCUCGCCUCUCCCCACGCUUUAGCCUCCAGCCACCCCAAAAGAGAUGCAAUUUCCCUUAUCAAGCCACCUCUCUUCUGUGUCUUUGCCCGUGCUGUCCUCCAACAAAUACUUUUCUCCACUUCUUUUGAGGACUCCUAGUUACUCAU